UACACCCCUGAGUAUAAAGUAUUUUUGCAAGGCAAUUUGAAAAAAAAUUUUAUGGCCUUUUUAAAUUUGUUUCGUUAUGUAUUCGGCAUAUACAGUUGGAUCUUAAAGUAUGAAAAAUCGAUGUUCUAGUCUCAUUUAUCUCAAAGUACCCCGAUCUAGUGCCUUCUCAAUCACAUCUCAGUUCUUAACACCGUAACGUCGUAACACCCUACUGCCAGUAAUUAAAGCUCACCAAAAAUCAUUCAACUUCUCCUAAUGUAGUAUUGUGUUUAUUCCAGUGAACUAUUUAGAAUAAACAAAAUUUUUCCGAAUGCAGGUAUUACCGUAAUUGGGUUAAAAAGGCGAUCGCUAGGUUCGGGCAAAUUUUUUUUUUUUAGAAUUUGUCUUGGAAAAAUACUUUAGCUCAGGGAGUGGUUGUUAUGUAUAUAGAGAGUUUUAUUUUUUAGGAUUUAAAGGUUAUUGUACAAAAAUCAGUACAUAUCUAGACAUCGUUACUCUUAAUAUAGAAAGGUGGAACUAAUUUUCUUUUGAACAGAAUUCGUUAGAUUACCCAGUCAAUACAAAAUAGAAU